rnacentral:rRNA from 1 species
AUACGGAGGAUCCGAGCGUUAUCCGGAUUUAUUAGGUUUAAAGGGUGCGCAGGCGGCCAUUUAAGUCAGCGGUUAAAUCGUGGGGCUCAACCCCAUUCUGCCGUUGAUACUGGGUGGCUUGAUUGCGGUCGAGGUUGGCGGAAUUCGUUGUGUAGCGGUGAAAUGCAUAGAUAUGACGAAGAACACCGAUUGCGUAGGCAGCUGACCAGAUCGCAAAUGACGCUCAUGCACGAAAGUGCGGGGAUCGAACAGGAUUAGAUACCCUGGUAGUCCGCACAGUAAACGAUGAAUACUUGUUUUCGGCGAUAUAAUGUCGGAGGCAAAGCGAAAGCGAUAAGUAUUCCACCUGGGGAGUACGCCGGCAACGGUGAAACUCAAAGGAAUUGACGGGG